CGGUGAAGUACUGUGAGGUAAAUUGAAAUAAAGGAAAAAUGAGGUAAAUGUAAAUAAAAAAUCAAUCCAAUCGUUUUUUUCAUUUGAACUAGCUUCAGUAAUUGCCAGUCCUUUUAGAUCUUUAUUCUGUGUUGUUUGUCUUUUAGUUACCAGGGUAGUUAGUCUUGUAUUUGUAUUUGUGCAUAAUGUCAAAUGAUGAGUCAAGCACUCUUAAACUGAAUUUUACAGUUUGUUUUUGUGUUGUGCUGAUAACCUCUCUCUCAGGUUUGGAGAGAGAGUGGAGAACUCAUGAACUCAUGUUCAAUCAACAACAUUCUUUGAGCCUACUCCAAGUCAGGAGCCUGUAGUCUAGUGGUUUUUAAAAAGAGAUAUGAAGC
rnacentral:lncRNA from 1 species